CUACGGGCCGCAGCAGUGGGGAAUAUUGGGCAAUGGGCGCAAGCCUGACCCAGCAACGCCGCGUGAGGGAAGAAGGUUUUCGGAUUGUAAACCUCUGUCCUUGGGGACGAAGAAGUGACGGUACCCAAGGAGGAAGCUCCGGCUAACUACGUGCCAGCAGCCGCGGGAAUACGUAGGGAGCAAGCGUUGUCCGGAAUUACUGGGCGUAAAGGGUGCGUAGGCGGCAUAUUAAGUCAGGUGUGAAAUACUCGGGCUCAACCCGAGGGGUGCAUUUGAAACUGAUAAGCUUGAGUGUGAGAGAGGAAAGUGGAAUUCCUAGUGUAGCGGUGGAAUGCGUAGAUAUUAGGAGGAACACCAGUGGCGAAGGCGACUUUCUGGCUCAUAACUGACGCUGAGGCACGAAAGCGUGGGGAGCAAACAGGAUUAGAUACCCUUGUAGUC
rnacentral:rRNA from 1 species